rnacentral:rRNA from 1 species
ACACGACUACAUUAGAUACCCGUGUAGUCCUAGCCAUAAACGAUACUCGCUAGGUGUCGGCCACGGUGCGACCGUUGUCGGUGCCGUAGGGAAGCCGUGAAGCGAGCCACCUGGGAAGUACGGCCGCAAGGCUGAAACUUAAAGGAAUUGGCGGGGGAGCACCACAACGGGUGGAGCUUGCGGUUUAAUUGGAUUCAACGCCGGAAAUCUUACCGGGACCGACAGCAACAUGAAGGCCAGGCUGAAGACUUUGCCGGAUUAGCUG